rnacentral:rRNA from 1 species
UAGGGAAUCUUCCGCAAUGGACGAAAGUCUGACGGAGCAACGCCGCGUGAGUGAAGAAGGAUUUCGGUUCGUAAAACUCUGUUGUUAGGGAAGAAAAAAUGUAUAGUAACUAUAUACAAAAGAGACGGUACCUAACCAGAAAGCCACGGCUAACUACGUGCCAGCAGCCGCGGUAAUACGUAGGUGGCAAGCGUUGUCCGGAAUUAUUGGGCGUAAAGCGCGCGCAGGUGGUUUAGAAAGUCUGAUGUGAAAGCCCACGGCUCAACCGUGGAGGGUCAUUGGAAAAUAAUAAACAUGAGUGCAGGAGAGAAAGGUGGAAUUCCUAAUGUAGCGGUGAAAUGCGUAGAGAUGAGGAGGAACACCGGUGGCGAAAGCGGCUUUUUGGCCUGCAACUGACACUGAGGCGCGAAAGCGUGGGGAGCAAACAGG